rnacentral:rRNA from 1 species
CAUAGCGACCAUACUAUCAUUAGCAUUGCCUUAUCUCAUCUGAUUUUGGAAACCAAGGAUGGUCUAUACUGGUUGCUACUUGAGAUGGGAGACCACCAGGGAAUACCAAGGGCUGCUUGGA